rnacentral:rRNA from 1 species
AAAUUGAAGAGUUUGAUCAUGGCUCAGAUUGAACGCUGGCGGCAGGCCUAACACAUGCAAGUCGAGCGGAAACGAGUUGUCAGAACCUUCGGGGAACGACAACGGCGUCGAGCGGCGGACGGGUGAGUAAUGCCUAGGAAAUUGCCCUGAUGUGGGGGAUAACCAUUGGAAACGAUGGCUAAUACCGCAUGAUGCCUACGGGCCAAAGAGGGGGACCUUCGGGCCUCUC